UGGGGAAUAUUGGACAAUGGGCGCAAGCCUGAUCCAGCCAUGCCGCGUGAGUGAUGAAGGCCCUAGGGUUGUAAAGCUCUUUCACCGGUGAAGAUAAUGACGGUAACCGGAGAAGAAGCCCCGGCUAACUUCGUGCCAGCAGCCGCGGUAAUACGAAGGGGGCUAGCGUUGUUCGGAUUUACUGGGCGUAAAGCGCACGUAGGCGGACUUUUAAGUCAGGGGUGAAAUCCCGGGGCUCAACCCCGGAACUGCCUUUGAUACUGGAAGUCUUGAGUAUGGUGGAGGUGAGUGGAAUUCCGAGUGUAGAGGUGAAAUUCGUAGAUAUUCGGAGGAACACCAGUGGCGAAGGCGGCUCACUGGACCAUUACUGACGCUGAGGUGCGAAAGCGUGGGGAGCAAACAGG
rnacentral:rRNA from 1 species